UUACGGCCAUAUCGUAUUGAAACACCGGUUCUCGUUCGAUCACCGAAGUUAAGCAGCCUCCAGUCUGGUUAGAACCUACAAGGGUGGCAACUUAAUAAUACUAGGUGUUGUAAG